GCUAGGUUUCUCUACGCUAGCUUCAUUUUCAUUACUACGCAUUGACAUUCUCCGGUAACCUCACCAUAGCAACAAAGACUGCUGAGAUACACUUCCCAACAAUCCUAACUCCCUGGCAGAGGCACAGACAGCUUGAGCUGCCUGGAAGAGACACCCUGCAAACUACUGAUCUGCCUCAUGCAGGAACACCAGGCUUCUAGCUCUAUAAGUCCUCACCAAUAUCAGGUUGACCUUCUGCUGAUGUGACUGUCUUUGCUUCACUCCUGUAAGGAAACCCUCAUCUACAUUCCUCUAAGUAGCACAAGCUGUAUGCCAGUGAGCCACCUGCUGGCUUCUACAAAGAAACACAUCUCCAAUGUUGGUGAUUAUGAGGAAAAAGAAAAUCAAAAGAAACAAUAACACCAUUAAGAUGAACCAUUUGAAAAAUAAAGUUGUUUUUUAAGGAAGAUAA